rnacentral:rRNA from 1 species
UACGGGGGGGGCAAGCGUUGUUCGGAAUUACUGGGCGUAAAGGGCUCGUAGGUGGCCAACUAAGUCGGACGUGAAAUCCCUCGGCUUAACUGGGGAACUGCGUCCGAUACUGGAUGGCUCGAGUUUGGGAGAGGGAUGCGGAAUUCCAGGUGUAGCGGUGAAAUGCGUAGAUAUCUGGAGGAACACCGGUGGCGAAGGCGGCAUCCUGGACCAACACUGACACUGAGGAGCGAAAGCCAGGGGAGCAAACGGG